rnacentral:misc_RNA from 1 species
AUUAAAACAAAUAACUUGGUGGUUAAAAAUAAAUCAAUUUUUCAUUGAAAUAAAGAACUUAGUGGUGUCAUUAAAGCAAAUAAUUUGGUAGUAUCAUUGAAACUAAUGGUUUGGCGGUGUCAUUGAAGGAAAUGGCUUGGUGGUGUCAUUGAAACAAGUAGCUUGGUGGUGUCAUUGAAACUGAAAAAGAAAAGAAUGUUGUUCAAUUUUUAAUAAAACUGAACUAAAUUUGUUAUUCCGUGAUAUAAGGAACAAGAACAGAUGGUUUACAACACACCCUACAGUAAGAAAACUUUUUAAAAAUCUCCCGGCAAACUCUUCAUUUGAAGAACUACUUGUUUCUAAAGAACUUGUAAUUCAUGUGCAAAGAAUAGAAUCGGCAGUUGAUAUCGUAAUUAGCAAAGUAGAUAAAAUUGAAGAUUUGAUAUUACUUCUAAUCGAACUUGGUAGAUUGCAUUAUGAACUAGGAGUUAACCAAAGCCACGCCAAUGCUCUUGCGGCAAGUUUUCAGUUUGGGAUUUGUGAAGUAUUUCAAGGUAUUGAUUUAGUAACAGAGAGUGCCUGGGACAGUCUUCUACGCUUUAUAAUGGACAUCUUUAAAUACGGUAUACGGUUAGAGGAAAAAGCACUUAACCUUAAGAACAAGCUAUAAAACACGCAAAUGCAUCUUAACGACGUAAAACACGCAAAUGCAUCUUAACGACGUAAAUCACGCAAAUGCAUCUUAACGACGUAAAAGAGAUUAAGUAAAAGUAAAAGGAAAAAAAAAAUACUGGAACACAUUUGUGUAACAAGAGUAGUUUUUGUUUAUAAAAAAUU